rnacentral:lncRNA from 1 species
UUCGCGAAAAAAAGCACUAUAAAUGUUAAAUGAAGCGCAUUUUAGUAUUAUCAGGUAAUAAUAAUAAUAAUUAUUGUUUGGAAUAUUAGACUUUAGAAUUAGAAUUUUCUGAAACAUUACUAUUUAAUUAUUUGAACUUAUUUGCGUUU